rnacentral:rRNA from 1 species
AUGGAGCUCAUGACGGCCAUCGCCUGCGGCUGGAUCGAGCGCCUCGUGGGGGCCGGGGGUGACGUCUCCGACGUCUCCGCGCUCCUGGGGGAGAUGGACUGCGUCGGCCUCCGCCCCGGGUUUAGCCUCGUCGAGAAGGCCGUCGCGCUCUACUGGGACCGCAGCGAGAGGGCGCGCGCUGUUGAGUUCGUCAGGGACGUGCUCAGGAGGGGGAGCGUGGCCGCGGGAGGGGAGUACGACGGCGAGCGUGGAGGCCCCGUCGGUUACCUCGCCUGGAAGAUUAUGAUGGACGGGGACUACAGAGAUGCUGUUAAAUUGGUCAUUGAAUUCAAAGAGAGUGGACUGAAACCUGAAGUCUAUAGUUAUCUUAUUGGGUUGACUGCCUUGGUUAAAGAGCAAAAGGAAUUCUCAAAGGCAUUGCGUAAAUUGAAUCUGUCAGUGAAGGAUGGCUCAAUUGCCAAACUGGAUACUGAGAGCAUGCACAACAUCGAGAAGUAUCAAUCCAAAUUAUUAGGGGAUGGUGUUCUUUUAUCAAAUUGGGCAGUUCAGGAAGGCAGCAGUGAGGUUCUAGGACUUGUGCAUGAGAGGCUCCUUUCAUUGUACACUUGUGCUGGUUGUGGCUUAGAAGCUGAGCGCCAACUUUGGGAAUUGAAGCUUGUUGGUAGGGAACCUGAUACACAGCUCUAUGAUGUUGUCUUGGCCAUUUGUGCUUCUCAAGGGGAAGCUGCUGCUGUUAGACGAUUGCUUGCAGGAGUCGAGUCAACCAGCGCAGGAAGAAGGAAGAAGUCUAUGUCAUGGCUCCUGCGAGGCUACCUUAAAGGUGGUUUCUAUCUGGAUGCCUCGGAAACACUUUUGCGGAUGCUUGAUAUGGGCUUAUCUCCUGAUUACCUGGACAGAGCGGCUGUACUGACUGCACUGCAGAGAAACAUACAGGAAUCCGGCAACCUAGAAUCAUACAUGAAACUCUGCAAGCGCCUAUCUGAGACAGAUCUGAUUGCACCGUGCGUCCUAUAUCUGUAUGUACGCAAAUUCAAGCUGUGGAUGAUGCGCAUGCUGUGA